rnacentral:rRNA from 1 species
UACGUAGGGUGCGAGCGUUAAUCGGAAUUACUGGGUGUAAAGCGUGCGCAGGCGGUUCGUCGUGUCCGAUGUGAAAGCCCCGGGCUCAACCUGGGAAUGGCAUUGGAAACUGGCGGACUCGAGUGUGGCAGAGGGGGGUGGAAUUCCGCGUGUAGCAGUGAAAUGCGUAGAGAUGCGGAGGAACACCGAUGGCGAAGGCAGCCCCCUGGGCUAACACUGACGCUCAGGCACGAAAGCGUGGGGAGCAAACAGG